UACAUACUCCCUCCGUCCGGAAAUACUUGUCAUCAAAAUGGAUGAAAGGGGAUGUAUCUAGACGUAUUUUAGUUCUAGAUACAUCUCUUUUUAUUCAUUUUGGUGACAAGUAUUGUCGGACGAAGGGAGUACCUC
rfam:Triticum aestivum genome assembly, contig: Triticum_aestivum_CS42_TGACv1_scaffold_500591_6BL